UCGCAUCUGUGCAUGCAGCAUAUCAAUAAGCGGAGGAAAAGAAACUAACAAGGAUUCCCCUAGUAACGGCGAGUGAAGCGAGAAGAGCUCAAAUUUGAAAUCUUAAAGGGUUUCCCUUUACGAAUUGUAGUUUAAAGAAGUGUUUUCUGUUGAGGUUUUGGUAAAAGUUCUUUGGAAUAGGACAUCAUAGAGGGUGAGAAUCCCGUAUUUGACCUUUACUUUCAACUUUGUGAUACACUUUCAAAGAGUCGGAUUGUUUGGGAAUGCAGUCCAAAAUGGGUGGUAAAUUUCAUCUAAAGCUAAAUAUUGGCGAGAGACCGAUAGCGAACAAGUACCGUGAGGGAAAGAUGAAAAGAACUUUGAAAAGAGAGUUAAACAGUACGUGAAAUUGUCAAAAGGGAAGCGUUUGACACCAGUGUUGUUUUUCUGAAAAUCAAUUAAAGAACUGUUUAUGCUAAGUUGUUUAGACUUUAUCAGCUAACUGUUUAGUUUUGAGCUUUUCUUUAAUGCACCUUUUCAGUUAACAAGUCAACAUCAAUUUCUUUUGCUGUAAAAAAGCUUGAGGAAGGUGGCUUGAGAUUCGUCUUAAGUGUUUAUAGCCUCUUGCCUAUGCAGUCGGAGAGAUUGAGGUCUGCAGCGUAGAUCCUUCGGGGCUAAAUGCAUUUGUGCUAAGUUAUAGCAUUUUAUAGACAACUUGUUGACUAUGAUUUGUCUUGUAGCUUACUCGCUUAUGUUAUUUUACCUACGCUAGGAUGUUGAGUCAUCACACAUCUCU
rnacentral:rRNA from 1 species